rnacentral:rRNA from 1 species
GAUGAACGCUGGCGGCGUGCUUAACACAUGCAAGUCGAACGGAAAGGCUCCUGCUUGCAGGGGUACUCGAGUGGCGAACGGGUGAGUAACACGUGGGUGAUCUGCCCUGCACUUCGGGAUAAGCCUGGGAAACUGGGUCUAAUACCGGAUAGGACCACAUUUUGGAUGGUGUGGUGGAAAGUUUUUCGGUGUGGGAUGAGCUCGCGGCCUAUCAGCUUGUUGGUGGGGUAAUGGCCUACCAAGGCGUCGACGGGUAGCCGGCCUGAGAGGGUGUACGGCCACAUUGGGACUGAGAUACGGCCCAGACUCCUACGGGAGGCAGCAAUGGGGAAUAUUGCACAAUGGGCGCAAGCCUGAUGCAGCGACGCCGCGUGGGGGAUGACGGCCUUCGGGUUGUAAACUCCUUUCGCUAGGGACGAAGCGUUUUUGUGACGGUACCUGGAGAAGAAGCACCGGCUAACUACGUG